rnacentral:rRNA from 1 species
GGGGAAUCUUGCGCAAUGGGCGAAAGCCUGACGCAGCGACGCCGCGUGGGGGAAGAAGGCUUUCGGGUUGUAAACCCCUUUCAGGAAGGACGAAGCCACUCGGGUGAACAGCCCGGGGAGCUGACGGUACCGCUAACGGAAGCCCCGGCUAACUCCGUGCCAGCAGCCGCGGUAAUACGGGGGGGGCAAGCGUUGUUCGGAAUUACUGGGCGUAAAGGGCUCGUAGGCGGCCAACUAAGUCAGACGUGAAAUCCCCAGGCUCAACCUGGGAACUGCGUCUGAUACUGGAUGGCUUGAAUCCGGGAGAGGGAUGCAGAAUUCCAGGUGUAGCGGUGAAAUGCGUAGAUAUCUGGAGGAAUACCGGUGGCGAAGGCGGCAUCCUGGACCGGCAUUGACGCUGAGGAGCGAAAGCUAGGGGAGCAAAC